AUCCCUGUCACUAUUCUCUAGCAUCUCAGCAGUGGACUGCAGCAGGCGGAUCCUCCAUAGAGGAAUCAAAGUAGACCCCACUGAGGUAUCCUUCUUCACCUAGCUGAGAGGCAGGAACAUAGCAGAACUCUGAAUUCUGCAGCAGUGCAUGUCUAGCCCUCAUGAUGGUCAGCAUUGAAUAGGUAGCAUCGUGUACUGCCAUGUCAACAGUGACCCCCAAUCCAUGGACCAAUGGAUUGGCUCCUCAGCUCCAAGGUAAUCUGGGAAUACCCUAACAGUGCAGAGGUACUCGCUCUGAUUAAAAUCCCGGUACGGCUCCUCCACUGUGUACUCUGGGUACCAGCGGUAACCGGACACUGACAUCAUCCUGACUAGCAUGGCCGUAUGACCUGGCACAUCAAUGCACCUAGUCAGACGGACCACCUGACGAGAAGGACGACCAGGCACCUGAAAAUAGAGAGUAAUGCAAAAGCAUUAGAGCUCUGAAUACAAAGUUGGGCAUCAGAACGGCUGUAAAUGCUCAAAAACAAUUUUGAGACAACCCAUAAAAUAUAAUA
rnacentral:lncRNA from 1 species